rnacentral:lncRNA from 1 species
AUGCUGCGUAAGGUGGCAACCAAUGAGGUCCUGGGUGCAUACAGCCUUCGGGGGAAGAAAUCAAAACUAGCCUUCCAAGACCUCAGGAUUUGUUCCAUUAUUAUAGGAGCAACACAGAAGACUUUUAAAUCACUGAAGUCAGUUGAGGUGGAGGAUCUGAUUUCACUGGCCCUGAAAAUGGUAAUUACACUUUAUUAAAAUCUAUUUUGAGAUGACUAAUGCAGAACUGUCUCGAGAGUUGUAACUGGAAAUGCCGAUUAGACCAUCUCGUCGUACAAAUCCAAAAUAUUUAAUAAUCCUCGAGCAGGGCUGCGAUAUGCA